CACAUUAUCCUUCUUUCUCUUCCUCCCCGUACUCUCUCUCUCCUUGCUAUACGUACGGACAAGAGCAAGAACACCCCAAACUUCGCAGAUCGAAGGUUUUGAGUGCACCAUUGUGUUCCUCGUGGUGCUACGAAUCGUUUGGUACCAGUUCCAGGGAAAUCUAAGCUCAUAGGAAGCUUAAUGAGGCCUUCACGAGUCUCGGGGUAGUUUGUUUGAGGAAUUUGGACGUCGGGAUCAUGAGAAACGACGAGUUGCAGGUUUGGUCGGAAUUGUGAAGCUUCCCCGACGUGAUUUCGUGAGAUUUGAAGCUUCAAAUAGGUGAGAUGUAUCCCGAGGACGAGCGUAUCCAAGGGCGACU